AGCAUGCUGCAGCCCCAGGGAGGAAUAAUGCUAACCCCACAUCAGCAUCAGCUCCUCACACUAGGAGGGAUCACGUGCUUUGGGGCAGAAAGCCUUGAUUCAUGGCAUUCUAAGCUUCAGACAAAGAUGGUUGGAGCACUGUGGUCAUAAACUCCAUCACAGAUUGGCUAUUAGCAGGAUGGAGGUGGCUGCAUGCUUUGCAGAUGAAUCCAUAUGGAGGAAGAAAACCCUAAUUUGCUGCAUCCUUUGCCUUUUCUAGUCGUGACCAAUGGAGACGUUUCAAAAUCAUGGCCCAGAGGUAUCUGGUUCAUCAGGUGCAACAUGGGCUCAAGCUUGUCUGAACCUUGAUGAUAAGCUCUCCUUGUUAAAAGCUAUUAUAUUUCUUACUAGCUGAGUAUAAUUCUGCCUGACUACCGCAGUUCUCCUCUGCAUGUAAUUGAAUUCAUAUUCAUCAUAAAGCAAUGAAAAAUAAAUUGUGUGUGUGUUUUUUCCCCCUCAUAAAGCAAGGCAUGCCGCUGGCUCUGCCUUCUCUGUAAUCUUCCCUUUUGCAAUGUAUUGUAAUAGAAUUCAUGGGAACAGAACAGUUGAAAUAGAUUGUGCGUUUUUGACCCACCUAGCAGAAAGAGAGCUUUAUUUCAAUGCCGAGGAGGAAUUGAUUAAUUCAGUUUUCUUCGGGGGAAAGCUAAAACCUUAGUUUAAGAUGCUUCAGUGCCAAAGAAGAGAGCUUGCUCAGCUGGAAGCUAAGGUGGUAUUGCAGAGGUCACUAAUCGGUUGUUUUGAGUCUUAGGUCUUAAAGGCCUUAUGCAAAGUUUCGGAGUUCAAGCCUCAUGUGUUUCCAGCAGAUGAAGAUUUUCAAUAGACCUAAAGACCUGCUAAAAUCCUAGAAUCAUUAAGAUCGGAAAAGACUACUGAGAUCAUCAAGUGCAACCCCAACCCAUACACACUGUGCUCACUGCCCAUGUCCUUCAGUGCCACAUCUCAACGGUUCUGGGACCCUGUGACUCCCCACCUUCCUGGGCAGCUGUAUCACUCCAUCGACACUCUUUCAGAGAGAUCCAGAAGCCAGGAUCAGACGGUGCCUGCGAGUGGGGCUGCUACUGUGCUGCAGUGGCCUGUCAGAAAGGCUCUGACAGGAAGAAAAUAUGUUUUCUGCAGCUCCUGGCUUCCAGCCAGCAGCACAAUAGUGCUGCUAGAGACAGACUAGCCCAGACGUCCUAAUACAUCAUAAUAUUAGUUUGGUGUCCUCCAGGAAAGCCCUUCUUCAUUGCAGUGAAACCUCCCUGAAGCAAAGCUAAGAAAUGUAGGGCCCGGCUGGUCUGUGAGCUCCUGAGGAAGACCUCUGCCACAGAAGAUGUCUGCAUCCGUGGUUCUGGGGAGGAACAUCUUUCUCUGCCACCACUACCAGAAUGAUGGUACUCAGCCAUAUGAUGGGAUGAGGAGGGUUAAGACUCGGCUGUGCUGCAAGGUGAUACAAACAGCACCUCCUCUGGGGACCAGGACUGGAGCACCUUUGCUCUGGGCAGUUUGCUGUGGUGGCUGUGUCAUACCCAAGGGAAGAGCUGAGGCUGCAAUGAUAUAAUUACAGUCAGCAACUGUUAAAAUAAUUCAUCUGCUUUCUGCUUUAUGAGAGAAGUCGCAAAUUAAAACCUGCAAAAAGGAAAUUUGAUGCAUGACACAGUAACCCUACGGGGCAUUUGACAGUCUUCUCUAAAUUAGAAGUGUGUUUUGAAGGCUGUUCCUUGGAGUAUUGUAUUCUGCGUAAAUACUCUCUCUGUUUUCACCCUUAUACUUUUGGUAUUUCUAUAGCUCAGUAUAGGAAUUGCCACGCAGGAUCAGAAAAGCAGUUUCCUCAGGUGAGAAUCCCAUUUCUUCUGGGGCCACUGCAGCUGCCUUGAGAUGGGGCAUGAGAAAGGUGACACCGAUAUGCAGAUGUUAAAUAACAAGUAGGUACUGUCACCUUAGAGGAUUUCUUACACAGUUCUUUCAGAGCAUGUCUUUUAAAUGUCAUUUAUUCCUCGUUUUACUGAAGGGGAAACUGAGGAGUUAGGAGGCAAAAUAACUCGUCUGAGGUUAUUGUCUGUGAAAGACGAUGGGGAAGGGAGCUCAGAUCCCCCAUGCCCCUCUCCAUCAAUUCAUCCUAUUAGAUGUUGCUAACUCCUGGUUCCUGUGCUUUCUGUUCACAUGAAGGUUCUUCUAAAACCAUUACUUCUGUUUUUUCCUCACAGAUACUGCUAUUUUUGUCUGUACAGCUUUUGAGAUAGAAUCAUCAAAACUGAACACAGUGCUCAAGUGAGAUCAUGUCAUUGGCUUUUACAACAGUGCUUUGAUAUGGGCAUCCAGAUGCCCUUCUUGUUUUGAUUCCUUUGUUCUGUCUCACUGUGCUGGUGCAGUAUUUUUUUCCAAUGGCUUGCAAUUAGUGUAGACCCCAUCAGUAGAUCUUGAUUGUUUUCAAGAAAUGCUGAGGUAAAAAAAAUAACAGAAAAUGUAUUCAAGCAGUGACUGUUCCCUGUUCUAACUGACGAUGGCAAUCUCGCCCUCCUCUGAAUAACAGAAAAAAGGACAGAUACUUGAACUUCUGAUAGCUUUAAAAAGGGUAAUCAAGAAUGUAUACAGAUGCAUACAGGUAUGUACAUCUUUGCAUAUAAUGUGAUUUUUAAAAAUAAUUCCUCCUACAGUUUUUUAUCUUAUUUGCCUCCCUUGCCAAUGGGAGUUCCAUCUGUGCCCGUCUGUAGGCUUCAAGCUAGCCAACAGAUUUGUCUUUGUCCAUGGAAGUCCUUGAAAGACUCUCCAGACCCAGCUGAAAUUGAAAUGUCUUGUUUGAAUUCUGUUGGGUUGCUUUGGAAUCUGGUGGGUAGAGAUGCAGAAGGUAGGAUCCACAGAGUCCCUGUCACAGCUGCUGGCACAGGGGAAUGAGGAUUUCCGGAAUGGGAUGUUUUAAGCAGCCACUAGACAUGGAGGACUGAGGUCUUCAGCACAGUGAAGGCUGCAAGGGAGAAGGCAGUCUGGCCUUCCUCCAUUAACUACUGUGGGAUUUCUGUGGCCUCAGGGCACUAAGUGCUUCCCCUACCAGUCUAUGAAUGCUGGCUCAUGCUGAGGACAUCGAGGUGUUUGUGGAUGUAUGUGUUAUGUUAAUCCACCAGCACGCUGCCUGGGAAAGGGAGACUGGGAAAUUAUUUAGGGUGCAGCCAGCUCUGAGAUGUGGCUGUUGCUGCAGGUCUCCUCCCAGCCCUCUUUUCUUCCCAGCAAUUGGGCACUUCCAGCACUGCCAUGUACCAGAGAACUCCUAUGAAGAAAAACCAGAAUGUGAGAUGGAAAAAAAGCAGCAGGAGCCCUGAGGCCCAUCUCCAGCACACUGUGGCAAUAGAGGGAAUUACCACAAAGUCAGCAUUGGAAGCAUCUGGCCUUCCAAGGUUGGUUGAGUUUGAAGUUUAGGAGGUAGAGACUGACCACCUGGGUUUUCCCAUGAUGUCACCAGAUGGAUUAACUUAGAAACGUGGGAAAAAAGCCAGCCUGAUCCUCCUACCCUAACCUCACCAAGCAUAGACACCUGGCUUCCACAGCAGCACCAAGAAACCAGCACUUAUCCUCAGAUGCUUAAACUGAUUGCAUCUCUGAUCCGUUUGGUCAGCCUCUGAAUGCCACUUCCCCUUGCUUGAGUCAUUUAAUCACUGCUGCCAAUCAGCACUAUUGAGCAGAGCAACAAUACGUCUCAAAGCUCAAUCACCUUCACAAUCAUCUCACUGUCAGCCCGUGUGUCUCCCUGCAGGGUGGAAUUACUGUAGAGGAGAUUCGGGGUGGUUUUGUAAUUGAAAUGUUAGUUCACAUGUGCGUGUGUCUCACGAGGAUGUGACUAUGUGUAUAUAAAUGGGUAUGUGUGCCAUGCUUUGAAAUGCAGACUAAUUGUUGGGGGCAGCAUGCAUUCAGAAAGGAAAUUAUGCAUUGAAACUGAAUUUGCAUCUUCUUAACUAUUCAGUCAGCUGAGAAAUACACUGAGAAGCAGCAGCACAGUGCAAGGCUUGCAGUGACACUGGGCUGCACUCGUGUGCUCAGCAGAGCGGGCUCAUGUGGGCAUUAGUCACAGAAACAUAGAAUCAUUGAGGUUGGAAAAGAUCACUAAGAUCAUCUGUAGACCCUGUGCAGGGAGAUCAGCAACUUUCUCUGGAAACUGCCCUGUGAAGAGAGGGGCCUUGGGGAACCUGCCCAGCUUUGUGGAGACAGUCGGUCCCAGCUCAGUGCCAGGAACCCAUGGCCCAGGGAGGCCGGGAAGUGUCCCUGCCCACCUUCCUGUCUCUUGCCCUUUCCUUCCUAGAAAAAUCUUCUCUGAAGUCUGCAUCUCCACCUUCAAUCCAGAUCAGAUUUCAAACUUCGAUUUUCGAAUUUCAGCUCCAGAAAUGGUGAUUUUCCUGCAAAUAACCUGAAAUUUUCCCAAUGCUCAUAGCUAUCCAUUCCUCUUUCCUUUUCAGCUUUCUCCCCUGCUUUCUCUCUGCUUCGCCCCUCCUGAUACCGAGCAGCCAUAGUUAAACCUUUUUUGCUCUGUGCUCUGGAGCAGCCUUCAUCAACACUGUUUUAGCUUUCUGGGAAAGUCCAAGCAGCAGGGACACCUGCUAGCUCUGAGUCAUGCCAAGGGGCACCCAGUCCUGCAACCCUUAUGCUCAAGGGCAUUGCUUGGAUCAUUGGCGUUUGACCCUCUACAUGGUGUAAGGCUAAUAGUAUGUAAUGCUCUGUUGUGAUUCAUCACUCAUGCAUCUAGAUACUAAUUAUAAUCCACCUCUUAUGUAUGCCACUAGCCUAUAAUUUUAAUCCCAAACAUUUGUGUGUGUAAUGAGGCGGUGCUUUUG